rnacentral:rRNA from 1 species
GAGUUUGAUCGUGGCUCAGAACGAACGCUGGCGGCAUGCCUAACACAUGCAAGUCGAACGGGUGUAGCAAUACACCAGUGGCAGACGGGUGCGUAACACGUGGGAACCUACCCAGAGGUUCGGAAUAGCUGCGGGAAACUGCAGGUAAUACCGAAUGUUGCCUGAGGGCUAAAGGAGCAAUCCGCCUUCGGAGGGGCCCGCGUCCGAUUAGCUAGUUGGUGAGGUAACGGCUCACUAAGGCGACGAUCGGUAGCUGGUCUGAGAGGAUGACCAGCCACACUGGAACUGAGACACGGUCCAGACUCCUACGGGAGGCAGCAGUGGGGAAUAUUGGACAAUGGGGGAAACCCUGAUCCAGCAAUGCCGCGUGGGUGAUGAAGGCCUUC